rnacentral:rRNA from 1 species
CAGUCGCCGCGGUAAUACGGAGGGUGCAAGCGUUAUCCGGAUUUAUUGGGUUUAAAGGGUCCGUAGGCGGAUCUGUAAGUCAGUGGUGAAAUCUCACAGCUUAACUGUGAAACUGCCAUUGAUACUGCAGGUCUUGAGUAAAUUUGAAGUGGCUGGAAUAAGUAGUGUAGCGGUGAAAUGCAUAGAUAUUACUUAGAACACCAAUUGCGAAGGCAGGUCACUAAGAUUUAACUGACGCUGAUGGACGAAAGCGUGGGGAGCGAACAGGAUUAGAGACCCGCGUAGUCCCUGUCUCUUAUAU